rnacentral:rRNA from 2 species
AGAGUUUGAUCAUGGCUCAGAUUGAACGCUGGCGGCAGGCCUAACACAUGCAAGUCGAGCGGUAGCACAGAGAGCUUGCUCUCGGGUGACGAGCGGCGGACGGGUGAGUAAUGUCUGGGAAACUGCCUGAUGGAGGGGGAUAACUACUGGAAACGGUAGCUAAUACCGCAUAACGUCGCAAGACCAAAGUGGGGGACCUUCGGGCCUCAUGCCAUCAGAUGUGCCCAGAUGGGAUUAGCUAGUAGGUGGGGUAACGGCUCACCUAGGCGACGAUCCCUAGCUGGUCUGAGAGGAUGACCAGCCACACUGGAACUGAGACACGGUCCAGACUCCUACGGGAGGCAGCAGUGGGGAAUAUUGCACAAUGGGCGCAAGCCUGAUGCAGCCAUGCCGCGUGUAUGAAGAAGGCCUUCGGGUUGUAAAGUACUUUCAGCGGGGAGGAAGGCGAUAAGGUUAAUAACCUUGUCGAUUGACGUUACCCGCAGAAGAAGCACCGGCUAACUCCGUGCCAGCAGCCGCGGUAAUACGGAGGGUGCAAGCGUUAAUCGGAAUUACUGGGCGUAAAGCGCACGCAGGCGGUCUGUCAAGUCGGAUGUGAAAUCCCCGGGCUCAACCUGGGAACUGCAUUCGAAACUGGCAGGCUAGAGUCUUGUAGAGGGGGGUAGAAUUCCAGGUGUAGCGGUGAAAUGCGUAGAGAUCUGGAGGAAUACCGGUGGCGAAGGCGGCCCCCUGGACAAAGACUGACGCUCAGGUGCGAAAGCGUGGGGAGCAAACAGGAUUAGAUACCCUGGUAGUCCACGCCGUAAACGAUGUCGAUUUGGAGGUUGUGCCCUUGAGGCGUGGCUUCCGGAGCUAACGCGUUAAAUCGACCGCCUGGGGAGUACGGCCGCAAGGUUAAAACUCAAAUGAAUUGACGGGGGCCCGCACAAGCGGUGGAGCAUGUGGUUUAAUUCGAUGCAACGCGAAGAACCUUACCUGGUCUUGACAUCCACAGAACUUAGCAGAGAUGCUUUGGUGCCUUCGGGAACUGUGAGACAGGUGCUGCAUGGCUGUCGUCAGCUCGUGUUGUGAAAUGUUGGGUUAAGUCCCGCAACGAGCGCAACCCUUAUCCUUUGUUGCCAGCGGUUAGGCCGGGAACUCAAAGAAGACUGCCAGUGAUAAACUGGAGGAAGGUGGGGAUGACGUCAAGUCAUCAUGGCCCUUACGACCAGGGCUACACACGUGCUACAAUGGCAUAUACAAAGAGAAGCGACCUCGCGAGAGCAAGCGGACCUCAUAAAGUAUGUCGUAGUCCGGAUUGGAGUCUGCAACUCGACUCCAUGAAGUCGGAAUCGCUAGUAAUCGUAGAUCAGAAUGCUACGGUGAAUACGUUCCCGGGCCUUGUACACACCGCCCGUCACACCAUGGGAGUGGGUUGCAAAAGAAGUAGGUAGCUUAACCUUCGGGAGGGCGCUUACCACUUUGUGAUUCAUGACUGGGGUGAAGUCGUAACAAGGUAACCGUAGGGGAACCUGCGGUUGGAUCACCU